rnacentral:lncRNA from 1 species
UGAUCCACAAACAACCUUAACCAUCAGGUUCUACAUAUUUAGAAUGUGAACUGCCUACAUGAAUAGGCAAGACCGAAAUUUAUAUGAAAUUACAAAAUGAUAAAUCUGAAAUUUCUACUGGAGAUUCUAGAACUAUAGAAGUCAACAUAUCAAUAAAUAUAUCAAUUAUAUUAACCCGAAGAUGAAUGAAUCGGGUUGUUAGAUAAAAAGCACUGCAGAAAAACUAACCACACCUGAAAAACAGUUAAAUUGAGACUGUCAGUCUCAAGAGUUAAAAUCAUAUAUCCAAAAAUAAUUACAAACACUUCAAUAACACAUUUAUUUAAUUUAAAAUAAGCAUUAAGUCAUGCAAAAAUAUACAUGUCACGCCAUGCUUAAAUAAAAAUAAAUUUCACAUACCACAUGACGGAGUACUUCAGUAGAACCCUAAUCCCCAAUGCUAAACAGUCUCAGCCUUUCGGCUCUCUCGUUUCCAACAGGACUGGCGCCUAGAGAGCGAAGGUCGACCAGGAUCCUUAAAUCUAGUCUGGUCGCAUAACUUUCUAACUAAGCCGACACCCAGAGAGCAAUGCCCGACUAGGGACCUUUACUCCGGCAACUCACAGAGUUAAACUCGACCAGGGCAAAACCCUAAACCAUUAUUCUAUUAUCUGACUCAAAAUUUAUAUCGGUGCGCACGCAAUCCUGAUGCAAUCCAUCAGGUGGCAUGUUCUACUGUCGUCUCAUCCCGAGCCAACAUGCAAUCACAAUAGCCAUAAUGCAGAAAUGAAACGUAUAUAAACAGUAAAUAAAUAAAUAAUUAAAAUAUUAAUCAUUUAAUUAGAGAUAUUACGUAAAAAUCUUAUCUAAUCAUGGGAAUAAUUUAAUCAGAAAAGUAAAACAUUUGACAAUUAAACCUAGGAUUAGACUCCUCGAACUGACUGUCUAAAAAUUUUGGACUCGGGUAAAUUCUAUCGAAAAUUCGACAGAACCUUCCCCAAAUUACGGAGAUUUACCCCCAUAUAACGGGUCCAGGACCUGCCAGAAAAGACUUCAAAUAUACCGCGAUAAAUUAACGAAAGUCGGGUCACUAAAACUGCAAUAAUUUUUCCGACUCCACAACACAACACAAUCACGACUAUUGGCAGACAGUCCGAAAAAUUAUUUAUUUUAACUAAUAAACCUCACAUAAUUUUUCUAAAAUUCAACACAACAAUUAAACACAUAAGUUUUAUCAAUGACUUCUAAAAUCAAUGGGCCAAAGAAUUACCGAGACGCUUGAUCACUCGGUCGACUCGCCUCCAGCCGCCGGAGUCCCAUUGACGAUUCGAACGCACCAACGGACUCGAAACAGCACGCUGAUGACGAUCCCAGCUUCAGAUCUUCCGAUUCGACCCCCGAUCAUCCAGAGAGAUUUACGGACGAUCUCCACCGUCGAUUUUCAAACAGAGUCUGAUCGUCGCGAAAGUGGUACCAUUGGAAAGCUUGAGCUGAGGAGAGUCCGGAUAUGUCCUCUGAUCAGUUAUUCUCUCUCCACCACGAACUUCCAACUUCGGCCACCAUUUAUGACACCACCACCGCCAAAAUGAAGCUUAGGCCGAGGGGAGUCGAUCGCCACCUGACUCGGUCGCCAAAGCCGCCGGAAACGCCCGGAAUGGUGUCCGAAAGUCGCUGCCUCCUUUGCGCUCUUCCACUGCCUGGCGCUACCGUUCCCUGCUGCCACGCUCGCCGGCGCCACCGUUCCCUGCUGCCACGCUCGCCAGCGCCAGCCGUUUCGUCGGCCAGCUCCGCCACACCCAGACAGUCGGCCACCGACGACAACACAGCCGAUCUUCUUCUCCUCGCGCGAUCUCUCUCUCUCUCUCAAUUCUCUUCUUUCUCCUUUUCUUUUCUUUCUUCCCUAUAUCAACAUUUAGUCCUUGAACUUUUCUUCUUUACUAUUUAGUCCCUCAACUUUUUUAAUUACUAACAAUCUCGCCCUAUAAAAUUUUCAAUUAACCCUUAGACUUUUCUUUAGCUUUUCAGUUAAGCCCUUAACUAUUUAAUUUGGACCAAAUUAGAAUUAUUAUAAAUAUAUAGUUACUUAUUUACCCUUACUUUUAAAUGUAAAAUAACCAAAGCGCCAUUGCCAACACAUUUAAUUAUAAAAAUACCAACCAUAUAAAUUUUCAUUAAAACCCCAUAUUAAUAAAAUUAUAUUUUAAAUCCUUAUUCCAAGAUAAAUUUUCAAUUUAAUCCUAACACACAAUUAAUUUAAUUAAUCAAUUUGCUAAAUAUUUUUCAAUUAAAAUUAAC